CUUCGGGAAACCGGAGCUAAUACCGGAUAACACGAAGACCGCAUGGUCUUUGGUUGAAAGACGGCUUUGGCUGUCACUUACGGAUGGGCCCGCGGCGCAUUAGCUAGUUGGUGAGGUAACGGCUCACCAAGGCGACGAUGCGUAGCCGACCUGAGAGGGUGAUCGGCCACACUGGGACUGAGACACGGCCCAGACUCCUACGGGAGGCAGCAGUAGGGAAUCUUCCGCAAUGGACGAAAGUCUGACGGAGCAACGCCGCGUGAGCGAAGAAGGUCUUCGGAUUGUAAAGCUCUGUUGUUGGGGAAGAAUAAGUACCGUUCGAAUAGGGCGGUACCGUGACGGUACCUAACGAGAAAGCCACGGCUAACUACGUGC
rnacentral:rRNA from 1 species